GGUUCUAUAGUGUAGUGGUUAUCACGUCAGCUUCACACGCUGAAGGUCUCCAGAUCGAAACUGGAUAGAAUCA